GACGUAGGGUGCGAGCGUUGUCCGGAUUUAUUGGGCGUAAAGAGCUCGUAGGCGGCUCGUCGCGUCGACCGUGAAAACCCGCAGCUUAACUGCGGGCUUGCGGUUGAUACGGGCGGGCUAGAGUUCGGUAGGGGAGACUGGAAUUCCUGGUGUAGCGGUGAAAUGCGUAGAUAUCUGGAGGAACACCGGUGGCGAAGGCGGCAUCCUGGACCGGCAUUGACGCUGAGGCGCGAAAGCCAGGGGAGCAAACGGG
rnacentral:rRNA from 1 species